rnacentral:rRNA from 1 species
AGCGAACGCUGGCGGCAGGCCUAACACAUGCAAGUCGAACGAACCUUUCGGGGUUAGUGGCGGACGGGUGUGUAACACGUGGGAACGUGCCCUUAUGUUCGGAAUAACUCAGGGAAACUUGUGCUAAUACCGAAUGUGCCCUUCGGGGGAAAGAUUAAUCGCCUUUAGAGCGGCCCGCGUCUGAUUAGCUAGUUGGUUGAGGUAAUGGCUCACCAAAGCGACGAUCAGUAGCUGGUCUGAGAGGAUGAUCAGCCACAUUGGGACUGGGACGCGGCACAAACUCCUACGGGAGGCAGCAGUGGGGAAUCUUGCGCAAUGGGCGAAAGCCUGACGCAGCCAUGCCGCGUGAAUGAUGAAGGUCUUAGGAUUGUAAAAUUCUUUCACCGGGGACGAUAAUGACGGUACCCGGAGAAGAAGCCCCGGCUAACUUCGUG